CCACAUGAGAGAUUUUUGUGGUCUGACCUGCUCACUGAACAUAGAAUUUAAAGAGCCGCGGUAUUUUGACCGUGCAAAGGUAGCAUAAUCAUUAGUUUUUUAAUUGAAAACUUGUAUGAACGGUUAGACAAAAGAAACCCUGUCUUCUUUAAUUUAACUUGAAUUUAACUUUUAAGUGAAAAGGCUUAAAUUUUUUAAAGGGACGAUAAGACCCUAUAAAGCUUUAUAAUGAGUUGCUGUUUUUUGAAAUAUUUUAUAAAAAAAAAUAAUAACAAUCUUAUUUUGUUGGGGUGACACUGAUAUAAGUAUAUUUAACUGUCAGGAGAAGAAAUCAUAGAUCUAUGAGUGAAUAAAUUGAUCCUAGUUAAAGAUUAAAAGACAAAGUUACUUUAGGGAUAACAGCGUUAUUUCUUUUGAGAGUUCUUAUCGAAAAAGAAGUUUGCGACCUCGAUGUUGAAUUAAAGAAUCUUUAUAGUGCAGCUGCUAUAGUAGGAAGGUCUGUUCGACCUUUAAAUCUUU
rnacentral:rRNA from 1 species